UUCACAGCCUCAGGCCACGCACUCCCCAGUUGUAGCUGACUGGAGGCCUGAGUCCUCCCGUGUCUCCUCCGCCGCCCACCUGCAUGAAGCGGGCACACGGGGGCGCUCGCGCUCCUGCAGCGAAAGCUUCUGGAGAACCUGCUGGGCCCAGGCAGAAGCUCGCUAAGAUCAGACAGCAGCAAGCUCACCAACCCUCGCCUGGCGUCCUUUGUGUCUGCUUUCUCCCUCUGCUGCCCGGUCCUGCCGGAGCCCAAGUCAUCAUGACGCCCACUCGCUCAGGUCCUUCCCUUCCCUCCUCCUUCUCCUGAAGGCAUCCCUUCAAUGACUCACCUACACAAGAGCAGCCUCUUCAAACGCAGUGUGAUGGCUCAUACCUAGAAUCCAGGCAGGAGGGACGCAGAUGUAGGAGGAUUCAGAGAAUCUGAGACCAGCCUGGGCCACUUCAUCAGCCUUGCCUGCAGUCUUCAGUAGUGAGAACAAGGACCAAAUUCAGUAGACCGCUGCACAGCAGCACACACCAGGCCAGACCUCACGCCACAACACUGGAGUGAUUGCAGAGCUCGCCAAAGAGCAAUCCUAAGGAAACUGUUGCAACAAACUGCUAAGCAUUCCAUAGAGGAACUUUCACUUGCUUGACAAGACUAACACAAGUCCACAGAAAACAGUUCUUGCUUCAAAAGAAAAGAAGAGAGUUUAUUCUGAGGCAAAGGUGCAAGUGUGUUUUUCCAGAUUCAAGCAUGAAGUCUCUGCAACUGAUGGCUGCUCCUGGAGCACCAAUCACAAGGCUAGCCCUCUUCUGGCCGAGAGCAGUCAAAGCUCCCUAGAUGGACCACUUCUCCCAAGGCUCUCACAAGGUCACAUGGUUUUCUGGGACAUACAUCCCAAACUGUGGGGCUAAGAGAGCAGCUGAGAGGCACCCAUGCCAGAACCUUUUGAAUAUGUGAAUCUGAGUUUGAAAUUCUUCUCUUAAUUGAAUGAAAUGGUUUGAAGCAGCAGUUUUAUAUGCCCAUUGCUGUAGCUAGCAAUGGGACUAGACAGAGGAAUGAAAAAUGAAUUAAGGGGCUCAGUUGGUAGAGUACCUUCUCAGCAUGCACAAAGUCUGGAUUUGACACAUGUGUAGUGACACAUGGGAGCUGUAAUCCCAGCACAUGGGAGGUGAAGGCUGAUACAACAUAGCAUCAUUUCUGCUACAGAGUGAGUCUGAGGUCGGUCUGGGCUACAUGAGACCCUGUCUCAAAAACAACUAGAAUGGGUAGAGUACUAUCCCCUUACAGAUUCUGCUCAGCUGGUCCAGUAACAGAUGCUCAGAAUCCCAGUACUUGGGGAGGCAGAGGCAGGAAGAUCAAGAGUCUAAGAUCAUCCUCAACUAUGUAGUCAGAGGCUGAGUGGUUUGAAUGAAAAUGGCCCCCAUAGGCUCAUAGAGACUGACACUAUGGGAGGCGUGGCCUUGUUAGAGUAGGGGUGACAUGGUUGGAGGAAGCGUGUCACUGGGAGCAGACUCUGGGGUCUCGAAGCUCAAGCCAGGCCUAGUGUGUCUCAGUCUCUUCCUGCUGCCAUUGGAUCCAGAUG